CCCAGUCUAAAAAUAGAUCAAUCCCAGUUCCCAUUUUACCCCAUUCAGGGCCCUCUUUUAUUUUUAAUAUUUUUUUUCGUACUUUUUCCUUUUAUGCGCAAAAUUAAAAAUUAGGAAAAUUUAACGCAACAAAUCUCCAGUAAUAAAAUAAUGUGUACGUUAUCUGUAGUAUAACAAGUAAAUGUUUCCAUUUCGUAUAGUCUAAUAGUAAUAAGUCUAUCGAUGUAUCAGUUUGAUGAUAAAAUGUCUUGAGUUAUAGGAUAUAGGUUUAUUAGCUUUCGAAGUGUUAU